rnacentral:rRNA from 1 species
CCUACGGGAGGCAGCAGUGAGGAAUAUUGGUCAAUGGGCGCGAGCCUGAACCAGCCAAGUCGCGUGUAGGAUGACUGCCCUACGGGUUGUAAACUUCUUUUAUAAAGGAAUAAAGUGAGGCACGCGUACCUUUUUGUAUGGACUUUAUGAGUAAGAGUAGGCUAACUCCGGGCCAGCAGCCGAGGUAAUACGGGGGAUCCGAGCGUUAUCCGGAUUUAUUGGGUUUAAAGGGAGCGUAGAUGGGUUGUUAAGUCAGUUGUGAAAGUUUGCGGCUCAACCGUAAAAUUGCAAUUGAUACUGGCAGUCUUGAGUACAGGUGAGGUAGGCGGAAUUCGUGGUGUAGCGGUGAAAUGCUUAGAUAUCACGAAGAACUCCGAUUGCGAAGGCAGCUUACUAAACUGCAACUGACAUUGAUGCUCGAAAGUGUGGGUAUCAAACAGGAUUAGAUACCCCUGUAGUC